rnacentral:rRNA from 1 species
ACGUAGGGGGCAAGCGUUAUCCGGAAUUAUUGCGCGUAAAGCGUGAGUAGGAGGUUUUUUACGAGUGCGGUGCACGGCAUUACUUUCAUUAUUGUAUGCCUUGCGAAUGGGAAGACUUGAGUGAAGGACAGGAAAGUGGAAUUCCUAGUGUAGCGGUUGAAUGCGUAGAUGUUAGGAGGAGGGCCAGUGGCGAAGGCGACUUUCUGGACUGUAACUGAGGCUGAGGCACGAAAGCGUGGGGAGCAAGCAG